rnacentral:lncRNA from 8 species
GGAUUCAGGGGACAGCCUGUUCAUAACUCAAGUGCCAGUGUCUGAGGUGGUGAGGUCUGUGAGAAGAUGUCACUCAAAGGAGAGGUCAGAGUUCACAUGUACCAUAGAAUCAGAGGAUGAGAGUGGGGCGGAAGAUGGACCUGCCACUCCCCAAAAGAAGCAGCAGGUCUCACAUGCAAUGAAACAUCACAAGAGGAAAGCAGAGAAGCAUGGCCUGAAAAAGUACUCCUUUCCCUUCCUGGGGAGCAUUUACAGAAGUAAACCCCUAUCUAGUCGAGAGAGGGCUUACAGAAACACACACCUACCACUAUUAAACAGUGUGACCUUCUCGGUAAGUAGGCAGCACUUCUUGAGUCAAAUUCGUACAGUAAAAAAAGAUCUGUCAUAAAAUAAAACAAAGUCCAGCUUCUGAUACUUAUCAUUUGGAUCAUAUAUAGGCCGAAUGUAUUUGUGGGUACUAAUGUGUCAUAUGCUUCCAAAUGUCUUCUCAGUCUCACUGACAUUAAACCCCUUUUUGUUUCCAAUAGAGUAAGGCAAUUGGAGGCUUUUUUAGAUGCGUCAAAACACUGAAGAAGUUCUCUAAAGGAAAAGCGACGUUAGCCUCAGCUUUACCAAACAGAUAUCUGGAUGAGGAAGGUGAACUGUCUCCACUGUCAGAGUAAGUUUUCUACAGCUCUAAAUUUUGAAAUAAGAAAAGGUUGUAAUUGCUGGAGAUGAUCAGUGCUCUUAAGGUAGAUUUGAGCUAUGAAACAGUGGGCAGAACACAUUUCUUCCUUUGAGCUUCUUUAUAAUGAUUGUAUAUUUCUGAGGUGUAUAAUGCUGGGGUUUUGUCUAUGGACCUACAGACAGGAGGAGGAAUCUGAAGGUAGUGAUGAUGACAUCAGAGUGGUGGAAAAUACACUUUUAAUGCCAUUCCUGAAAAAGAAAAAUAGGGGAACUUGGCGUCAUCCGUCAUAUGAAGCUGAAAAGCAAUGCAGAAAGUUUUCAUCUGUAAGCAAAUACCUCACCAAAGACUCCACAUCUGUUAGCAAAGACUCCACCGCCAAGACAAAGAAACGGAGCACAAAGAAAACACAACACCUCCCUCAUGUCAAACACACUCUUUCCUUGGUUUCCAAAAUGAUUAAAGACACACCAUCAAAGCGGAAUUUUGCUGGGUCACGGCGAAUCGUACCUGAGAAAUGUAACAUGGCAGAAGAAGAGACUAACCCAGAGUCAGUCAGUUGCGUUAGAUGUUCAUCUGGUAGGAGUUCGGUCCGCAAUGAAACAGAAGAACCUAGUAUACAUUUAGCUGACAAUACAGAUGGACAGGAAGAAAACGACAACAUGGACAUUUCAUUGACAGAAUGGAAGACAAUGCUGAAUAUCGGAUUUGUCAGUGAGGAAGUAGAGGGGAGUAGAAUAGACCAGGCAGUGGACAUAACGAGUUCACCUAUUAAUGAAGUGCAGGAAAGUGAAGGAAGCUGUUUGGAGAGGACCCAAGUGGGCAGAGCCAUGACCCCCAGUGUGACUGAGCGGAGCCCUGAUCGUAACCAUCAGAACCAGACAAGGGAAACAGAGGCUGAUCCUGGAAUUAAAGGUCACAACCCCCCUUCAACAGAUCCAGAGCUCACAAAUGACUGUACAAAUGUUGAUGCUGAGGGAGGCUAUGAAAAGAAGAGGAAGAAAAAGAACAGGAAAAGAGAGGGAGGAGAUGAUAAAAGUAUAGAGGACCGAGUUGGGCAGCCUCCAUGCCAAGAGGCUCCAGAUUAUCAGGAACUAGUCACCUGUGUGAGUACAAGCACCAUACAGGGAGGAGAGGCUACUGAGAUAACCCAGGAUAACAAGGCAGAGCAUUCUGUGUCUGCGUCUGGUGAAAUGAUUAUGCCACAGAAAAAGAAGAGAAAAAAGGAGAGGAGGAGGGAUUCACCAUGCCAUGCUGAUACAGAUAUAGGCCUAAGACAGGAAGAGAACCCAAAGCUAUCAUCCCAUGCUGGAGGUGGUGCUAUAGUUCAGACUGAAGACAUAGAACUGAAGAAAAUGAAGAAAAAAUAUAAGAAUUCCACAGCACAUGCCAUCCUGGAGGAAGGACCAGAAAAAGGACAUUUUCCAAAUUUGAGUUUGGAAUCACAUUUAGAUGAGGUAAUAAGACCCCAAAAGAGAACAAACAUUUCAACCCUCCCUGAAGAUACUGUCACAAACCUACAGGUAAAUGCUACUGAUAUAAGACAGAAAACAAUUGAGUGCUCUAUAGUCCAACUUACUAAAUUGGUAGCCCAGAGAAAGAAGCAUAAAACCAUGGCACCAAUAGACAAUUCUUUGGCACAGAGUGACGGAACAAUUUAUUUUAGGAAAAAGAAAAAGGCAAAGAAAGAUGGGGAUUCCUGUAGCAAUAAAAUGGUGGGAAAUUAUACUGAAAUUCCUCUGACUACAAGUACUUUAUCUCAAUCUGGUGAAAUCGAUACACUGGAGAAGAAAAAACGCAAACGAGAUAAGAAGCAGAAUUCUGACAUUCAUGAAGAUUCUGAGGCCAGACCCAAAGAGAAUGUUGUGACCCAUCAGAGGUCUGAAGACAUGGUCACGGAGAAGAAGAGGAGGAAGAGGAGGAAAUCUUCAACUGACGAUGGCGCCGUUGUUCGACAACAAGAGGAUAAUAUAAAAAAAUGCCAUAUCACCCUCAAGAGUUCUGUGUCUGAAUCCAUUGACACUGUGCCACCAAGAAAAAAGGGGAAGAAAGAUAGGGAUUUAGUAACUCCUUUGAGCACAGAGGAGAGACAUCAAAAGGACAGCAUACCACCUGAAACAGAUGAGAUCAGUAGCCCAAGAAAGAUGAAGAAGAAAAAGCGAGAUGGGUCUAAAGACACUUGUUCUGUCAUACACAAGGAUACAGCAGCUCCACUGGAAAAAGAGAGUAUUGGCAUAUCUUUGGAGGGGUGUGAGAGUUCUGCUUUGACUCCAGAUGAUACAGUUUCUCAGAGAAAAACUAAGAAAAAUAAGAAUUCCCUCACUAAACAUGAUCCUGAGGGAAGACUGAAAAAUUAUGCAACUAAAGUAUCUCAGAGGAUGAGCGCAACUGUAAAAAAUUCUAGACCAGAAGAGAAAAAAAAGAUAGAUACAACUGAAGUGAGACUUGAAGCUGAAAGUGCCUUUAUAUCCUCAGAGAGAAAGAGGAAAAAGACAAAGAGGAGGAAAUCCACUGAUUACAAAGUACCAGCGGUAGGACAUCAAGAUAAUGAUAACACUGCAAUACUAAUUGAAACGACCCAGAGUUCUAUGACCCAAUACACAGAAACAGAGUCACAGAAAAAGAAGAGGAAGAAGAAGAAGAAGAAGAAGAAAAUAAAUGAUAACACUGCAAUACUAAUUGAAACGACCCAGAGUUCUACGGACCAAUACACAGAAACAGAGUCACAGAAAAAGAAGAGGAAGAAGAAGAAGAAAAUAAAUGAUAACACUGCAAUACUAAUUGAAACGACCCAGAGUUCUAUGACCCAAUACACAGAAACAGAGUCACAGAAAAAGAAGAAGAAAAUAAAUAGAAAAACUAACAAGGAAUCAGUUGCCCCGAAGCGCACAGAUGGAAGACAGACCGGGGAGAUGUCAGAGGUGACGUCAGACUGUCUGCCUUUACCACAGAUUAAUCCUGAUCCUGUAUCAAUCUCCCAUGAACUGGUUUCAUCAGCAGAGAAGAAGAAGAAGAAGAAGAAGCAUGGAAAAGACAAGAGGAUGAUGUAUGUAUGA